rnacentral:rRNA from 1 species
AAUCAACGCUGGCGGCGUGCCUAACACAUGCAAGUCGAACGAGAAAGUGGAGCAAUCCAUGAGUAAAGUGGCGCACGGGUGAGUAACACGUGACUAACCUACCCAGGAGUGGGGGAUAACUGAGGGAAACCUUAGCUAAUACCGCAUAAUACCCACGGGUCAAAGGAGCAAUUCGCUUCUGGAGGGGGUCGCGGCCGAUUAGUUAGUUGGCAGGGUAAUGGCCUACCAAGACGAUGAUCGGUAUCCGGCCUGAGAGGGCGCACGGACACACUGGAACUGAAACACGGUCCAGACUCCUACGGGAGGCAGCAGUGGGGAAUUUUGCGCAAUGGGGGAAACCCUGACGCAGCAACGCCGCGUGGAGGAUGAAGUCCUUCGGGACGUAAACUCCUUUCGAUCGGGACGAUUAU